GACGAACGCUGGCGGCGUGCUUAACACAUGCAAGUCGAACGGAAAGGCCCUGCUUGCAGGGUACUCGAGUGGCGAACGGGUGAGUAACACGUGGGUGAUCUGCCCUGCACUUCGGGAUAAGCCUGGGAAACUGGGUCUAAUACCGGAUAGGAGCCAUUUUUAGUGUGAUGGUUGGAAAGAUUUUUCGGUGUAGGAUGAGCUCGCGGCCUAUCAGCUUGUUGGUGGGGUAAUGGCCUACCAAGGCGGCGAAGGGUAGCCGGCCUGAGAGGGUGGACGGCCACAUUGGGACUGAGAUACGGCCCAGACUCCUACGGGAGGCAGCAGUGGGGAAUAUUGCACAAUGGGCGCAAGCCUGAUGCAGCGACGCCGCGUGGGGGAUGACGGCCUUCGGGUUGUAAACUCCUUUCGCUAGGGACGAAGCUUUUUGUGACGGUACCUAGAUAAGAAGCACCGGUUAACUACGU
rnacentral:rRNA from 1 species